AUGUACAUUCCUACAACAUUAAUGUAGCGGAUCCUAUCAAAACUUCAUAGUUAAGCGUACUUGGGCUAGAGUAGUAUUGGGAUGAGUUACGUCCAAGGAAAUCCUUGUGUUUUACAUG
rnacentral:rRNA from 1 species